ensembl:lncRNA
GCAGACUGAUUAAAGCUGCUGCACUGUGACUGACAGAGGAGUGAGUGGUGUAGUUAGAAACGAGCUGCAGCCACACAAGUCAGAGCACCAAGUGGACACAGUCCAGCUUUCGAGGCUUGUUUUAAGUUGCCUGCGACUUGUACUUGGACACAGGCAGCUAAAGCAAGUCUGGGACGCCAGAGACACACCCACCAGGACACAUUUCAGGAUGGAACAUACAAAAAUAUGCUGUUUGAUUGGGAAUUCUGCACUGACCAGUUACAGAAGACUUUUCCUACAUGUGCGGACGGGAACAAAAUGUUGACCUACAUGUUAAAGUUAAAUUCUGUUGAUUAAUAAAUAAGUUAAGAGCUAUAACCUAUUGUAAUAUUUCAUUCCAAACCCAUAUUGAUCUGCUUUGACAAACCCUGAUAACUUCUCAUACUAAUAAAUAGCUUUAUAUCUAAUCAUUGAUUGCAAAUUUUUAUUUUUUUUUGGCACAGUGUGCAUUUGUGCAUGCUUGAGUUCAGUCAGGUGACUCAUUAUGGAGACGAUUAAUUAUUAGCAAACCAUUCACUUUCAGUUCAGUCAACACAGAGAGCAGACUAUAUGAUAAGAAUCGAUACUGGCUUUUUACAUUGGGAAUUCAAAUCUCGUCUGAUUAGAAGCUAAGCUUUAAAUAUGAGACUCGUUAGUCUAUGUUUGCACAAAGGGUGAAGCGUUUCUGUUUAUUUUAAGGCUUUUAAGAUGCCCAUAUUUCACAGAAAGUGGAUUUGUGAUGUGCUUAUCUAUUUUCUUCUAUUGUUUUCAUUUUAUUCCUGGACAGUAUGAAUGUAAUAUUAUCGUUGUUUCACCUAUUUUGUGUCUCUUUAGAUUAUGAUAUAUCCAUUUUUAUGGAAAUAAUAGAAGAUGUCAAACCAUGCAGCAUCCCAUCAGGGAUUCACAUGUGGCAUUGUCAGAGUGUUUACAUAUUUCUCUCUGAAUUAUCAAAUCUGUACUUAAUUGGCUUUAUUGUAGUGGUUAUGUGUAGAUACAGACAAAGGAAAAUGGGCAAAGAAAAACAUGUGACAUAUAGCAUAUGUCCUGGAAUCAAACCAUUUAGCGCACAUCUUAAAACACUAUGACACUCCCACUUUAAAGAUAUUUGGCCAAUAAUUUUUUUUUCAUGCAAUGGUUUUUGACAUAAUUGUGAAUUUCUUCUUCUUGUUUGUCAAUUUCAAAACUCAAAGGCACCCUUAGAUUUCACAACAUAAUGUAUGUGACGUUAAUUGUUUCAAAAGAAAUAGAAUUAAAAUUCAGUUUAAUCAUCUUGUGUAACAUCAGUCAGUGUUAUUUGUGUACAAUGUAUUUAGUUUUUACGUCUGAAUAAAUGUUCUGCC